GUCUGGCUACUUCAGCAACUCUCAGCUUCCUUUCCCAACACAACUCCCGUGUGGUUUCUGGGCUGUGAUGUGUGCUCUGGAUCAUCAUGAACUAAUUUUGGGGCUGUUAAAUCCAAAAGCCACAGGGCUGCUGAGAAACAGAGAGCACUUUCAUCCAGUAGGACCCCAGAGUUUACAUAAAACGUCAAUAAUGGGAGAGGACUCUACUUGAAAGAAGAGAAGACCUGCUUUCUCCUGGAGCCUCAGAUGAGUAAACACUUUAAAAGUAUCCAUUCAAGGAGAAGCAAAGGACAACUUUUCAUCAGACUGCAAGGUUUUUCGACAGUAAGAUGAAAUGAAUGUGUUUUUGUAAAUCUCAUAGUAGCUCUAUAUUCUAGGUCAGGGAAUCAGUCUACAGAAUCUAAGCUCUAAGUCUGAUCUCAAAGGGAAGAUUUUAUCAGAGAAAUGUAUUCUGAGAGUUUUGUAAUGCCAGAAGAGAAGGAAAAAUCUUUACACCAGAGCAGAUUAAAAAAAAGACAUAUAGAAACCUGUAAAUCUCGAUUGACGUUUGUUUUUGCCAAAAGGUGACAUUUUAGAGUUUAAUAGAAUGUUCAUUUUUAAUUGCUUCUAAGAUAAAGGGUUGAAAUUUUUCUUUGGGUAGCUUAUGAAUAUUUUAUAAAGAAACUCUGACACUGUGGUAGAAAGCUAUGUGAAAUCUCUUACAGAAUUAAAUCACUUUCAUUUUACUUUCUGGCCUUUGUCAGAAAACCCUUGUAAUACCAUCAACCACAAAGCUGAAUCAUUGAGUAAAUGGAGUGAGCCAUCUUUUGGGAGAGACUGAAUGUUGAAAGAAAAAGUGUGUGUGUGUGUGUGUGUGUGUGUGUGUGUGUGUGUGUGUGUGUGUGUGUGUGUGUGUGCAUUAUAGAAAAAGCCCUGGACUUGGAAGCCAAGAGAUCUACUUUUGAAUUCAAGUUCAACCUUUAAAGCUUUGGGACCUUAAAUGUCAUCAUGAAUCAACCAUGUCCCUUUAGACUGAAUGAAUACCCA
ensembl:lncRNA